rnacentral:rRNA from 1 species
UUCCGGUUGAUCCUGCCAGAGGCGACCGCUUUUGGAGUUCGAUUAAGCCAUGCGAGUAGAAAGAAAUUAGAUUCUUUGCAAACUGCUCAGUAACACGUGGAUAACCUGCCCUAUGCUCCGGAAUAACCUCGGGAAACUGAGAAUAAUACCGGAUAGAUCACAACGCCUGGAACGGUGUGUGGUUCAAAGGUCACGGCAUAGGAUGGGUCUGCGGCGUAUCAGGUCGUAGGGGGUGUAACGGACCUCCUAGCCAUCGACGCGUACGGGUGUUGGGAGACAUAGCCCGGAGAUGGAUUCUGAGACACGAAUCCAGACCCCACGGGGUGCAGCAGGCGCGAAAACUUCACACUGCAGGAAACUGUGAUGAGGGAACUCCAAGUGCGCGCACUUAGUGUGCGCUUUUCUUGACUAUUAAUCGGUCAUGGAAUAAGGGCUGGGAAAGACCGGUGCCAGCCGCCGCGGUAAUACCGGCAGCUCAAGUGGUCGUCGCUUUUAUUGGGCCUAAAACGUCCGUAGCCUGUUUGGUAAAUCUGUGGGUAAAUCAACCAGCUUAACUGGUUGAAUUCUGCAGAGACUGCCAGACUAGGGACCGGGAGAGGUGUGGGGUACUCUAGGGGUAGGGGUAAAAUCCUGUCAUCCUUAGAGGACCACCAGUUGCGAAGGCGCCACACUGGAACGGAUCCGACGGUCAGGGACGAAGCCUAGGGGCACGAACCGGAUUAGAUACCCGGGUAGUCCUAGGUGUAAACGCUGUGAACUUGGUGUCGGGAGUCCGCAAUGGGCCCCCGGUGCCGGAGUGAAGAUGUUAAGUUCACUGCCUGGGGAGUACGGUCGCAAGGCUGAAACUUAAAGGAAUUGGCGGGGGAGCACUGCAACGGGAGGAGCGUGCGGUUUAAUUGGACUCAACGCCGGGA